rnacentral:rRNA from 1 species
GGGUUGUGAGGUUAAGCGACUAAGCGUACACGGUGGAUGCCCUGGCAGUCAGAGGCGAUGAAGGACGUGCUAAUCUGCGAUAAGCGCCGGUAAGGUGAUAUGAACCGUUAUAACCGGCGAUUUCCGAAUGGGGAAACCCAGUGUGACUCGUCACACUAUCAUUAACUGAAUCCAUAGGUUAAUGAGGCGAACCGGGGGAACUGAAACAUCUAAGUACCCCGAGGAAAAGAAAUCAACCGAGAUUCCCCCAGUAGCGGCGAGCGAACGGGGAGGAGCCCAGAGCCUGAAUCAGCAUGUGUGUUAGUGGAAGCGUCUGGAAAGGCGCGCGAUACAGGGUGACAGCCCCGUACACAAAAGCGCAUGUGCUGUGAGCUCGAUGAGUAGGGCGGGACACGUGGUAUCCUGUCUGAAUAUGGGGGGACCAUCCUCCAAGGCUAAAUACUCCUGACUGACCGAUAGUGAACCAGUACCGUGAGGGAAAGGCGAAAAGAACCCCGGCGAGGGGAGUGAAAAAGAACCUGAAACCGUGUACGUACAAGCAGUGGGAGCCCCACCACUAAGCCAGUGG